rnacentral:rRNA from 1 species
GAUGAACGCUGGCGGCGUGCCUAAUACAUGCAAGUCGAGCGAACAGACGAGGAUCUUGCUCCUCUGACGUUAGCGGCGGACGGGUGAGUAACACGUGGAUAACCUACCUAUAAGACUGGGAUAACUUCGGGAAACCGGAGCUAAUACCGGAUAAUAUAUUGAACCGCAUGGUUCAAUAGUGAAAGACGGUUUUGCUGUCACUUAUAGAUGGAUCCGCGCCGCAUUAGCUAGUUGGUAAGGUAACGGCUUACCAAGGCGACGAUACGUAGCCGACCUGAGAGGGUGAUCGGCCAGACUGGAAGGGAGACCGGGUACAGAAUCCUACGGGAGGCAGCAGUAGGGCAUCUUCAGGCAGGGGCGAAAGCCUGACGGAGCAAGGCCGCGUGCGUGAUGAAGGUCUUCGGAUCGUAAAACUCUGUUAUUAGGGAAGAACAAAUGUGUACGUAACUAUGCACGUCUUGACGGUAACUAAUCAGAAAGGCACGGCUAACUACGUG